AUACUAGGAUCUCUUUACCUCCGAAUCAGUUACAAUGAAAUCUUAAUCAAUUCGCAUAUUUUUGGCUCAAUUUGUGAUUUUAAUCCUAAGGAGCUCUCUUCUUCUGUUACAACCUAAAAAUUGGUAGACAGUGGCAGCUUGAUAGUUGUUGAAAUAGUACUUUUGGUAUCCGUCAGAUUGUUUGAUGGUGGUAAAAGUCAGUCUUACUCACCGGCCAUCGUGGUCUUCUCGACGACUUCAAUUCCAGUUCUAUUUUUAGGAGAUUGCAUUUUUGUGAGUUAAAGGUUGGUGCGUCAUUUACAGGACAUCAGUCUGUUGUAAUUAAUCCACAAGGCACCCCUACACUACAAUCAUAUUUUCAUCCAAAUGGACCUCAGGUUCAGAAGCGCGAGAUCCAGAGCACCCUUAGCAGUCAAGACUCAGCCAGAAGUAGUAGAAGUAGCAGUGAGUCCUCUUUAUUUAAGGAUGAUCCUUAUUUUACUAUGGCAUUAGACUUAGUUUAUUUUCAGCAGGCAAAUUUUGUUGGGGACAUGUCCAUCAACUCCAUAGUUCAAACAAUUUAGAGGCUUUCAGGCUAUAGUAUUUUCCGACAGAUGUAUAAUUAUUCAGUUUUUAGAUUUGUGUAUUUUAGAUAUU